ACUACGGGAGGCAGCAGUGGGGGAUAUUGCACAAUGGGGGGAACCCUGAUGCAGCGACGCCGCGUGGGUGAAGAAGGGCCUCGGCGCGUAAAGCCCUGUCAGCAGGGAAGAAAAUGACGGUACCUGAAGAAGAAGCCCCGGCUAACUACGGGCCAGCAGCCGCUGGAAUACGUAGGGGGCCAGCGUUAUCCGGAUUGACUGGGUGUAAGGGGGGCGCAGACGGCGAUGCAAGUCAGGAGUGAAAGCCCGGGGCCCAACCCCGGGACUGCUCUUGGAACUGCGUGGCUGGAGUGCAGGAGGGGCAGGCGGAAUGCCUGGUGUAGCGGUGAAAUGCGUAGAUAUCAGGAGGAACACCGGUGGCGAAGGCGGCCUGCUGGACUGCAACUGACGUUGAGGCCCGAAAGCGUGGGGAGCAAACAGGAUUAGAUACCCGAGUAGUC
rnacentral:rRNA from 1 species